rnacentral:rRNA from 1 species
CAGAGACUGCGAGCGUUAUUCGGAUUCACUGGGCGUAAAGGGUGCGCAGGCGGCCGAGUGUGUGAGGCGUGAAAGCCCGGGGCUUAACCCCGGAAUUGCACCUCAAACUACACGGCUAGAGCAUUGGAGAGGGUAGCAGAAUUCACGGUGUAGCAGUGAAAUGCGUAGAUAUCGUGAGGAAUACCAGAGGCGAAGGCGGCUACCUGGACAAUUGCUGACGCUCAGGCACGAAAGCGUGGGGAGCAAAAGGGAUUAGAUACCCCUGUAGUCCACGCCCUAAACGGUGCACACUAGGUCUUGGCGGAUUCGACCCCCCCAGGGCCCAAGCUAACGCGUUAAGUGUGCCGCCUGAGGACUACGGCCGCAAGGCUA